AUCUUUUUGUAGUUCAUAAGUGUGAUAACUAAGUGUUCAUGUGCAUGUAUGAGACGUGCCACCCUUAAACCUUGUUAUAACAUCAGCACAUUACCCAUACGACA